GCGCCCGUAGCUCAGAUGGAUAGAGUACCUGGCUACGAACCAGGUGGUCGGAGGUUCGAAUCCUUCCGGGCGCGCCA
rnacentral:tRNA from 1 species